GGCCCUAUGGUGUAGUUGGUUAUCACGCAUCCUUCACAUUCGUGCUCGGAUGAGGUCUCAGAUUCGAUCUCUGGUGGGGUCA